rnacentral:tRNA from 1 species
UGACCUAUCGUAUAAUCGGUUAUUACGGCGGACUGUUAAUCCGUUUAUCAGAGUUCGAGUCUCUGUGGGUCAG